AAGAACCCUGUUCCCCAGGAACUGCCCCAACACCUCGAGCAGGUGCCUCCCCUCUCCAAUGAAGCCUCUCCCGUCCGCCCGGCCCAGAAACUGGGCAACUUACUGGUUUCGGCAUUUUCGGUUUCUGGGACACACUGCUGUUUGGGCAACCCUUUGUCAGGGCCUGUUAUCUCCCACUUGCAGAUCCAGGGCAUUUCAGAGGUCAGAGAGAGGAGGGAGGCCUCUUCUGAGAUUUUGACCUCUAUUCAGGUUCUACAUUCAUGGAAUCAGCCAACCUUGGAUGGAAAAGAUUUGGAAAAUAAUAAAAAUAAUACUACAAUUAAAAUACCAAUAAAAAUCCAAUACAGAA